GCGUAGUCAGCGUUACCUGUGGAGAGAAGAAAGUCCAAUUACACACUGGCCUUCGGGGUCUGAGAAUCAGGAAGAGUGCCGAAACUGAGUGUGGCAUCUAGAACCCGUUGGCUCGGGGUCCUCUUGCCUGUCCUGCCCUGCAGGAUCCAGGAUGUCAGUUUCUUCCUGUUUCCAGUGACUUUCAUCUACAGCCCGUCUAGAGUCAAGGUGGACAGAGGAAGGAGAGACUCUCUCUAGGCUGAGGAUGGAUGACCGAGGAGUGGUCAGAGCAUCUCAUCAGCAUCACUACAGAAGUGAGAACUUCACCUGUUAAAUUCUGACUCUUUGGGGCUGGAGAGAUGGCUCAGAGGUUAAGAGAAUUGCCUGCUCUUCCAAAGGUCCUGAGUUCAAUUCCCAGCAACCAUAUGGUGGCUCAUAGCCAUCUGUAACGGGGUCUGGUGCCCUCUUCUGGCCUGCGGGUAUACACACAGACAGAAUAUUGUAUUCAUAAUAAAUAAAUAUUAAAAAAUUC